CUUCACCGACCCCAGCCACAGCGGAAGUUCACGGCCCUGCCCGUACGUCGCCAGCAGCGCCUGCGCCUC
rnacentral:antisense_RNA from 1 species